rnacentral:rRNA from 1 species
GACAGAGGGUGCAAACGUUGUUCGGAAUUACUGGGCGUAAAGCGCGUGUAGGCGGCUCGGCAAGUCGGGUGUGAAAGCCCUGGGCUUAACCUAGGAAGUGCACUCGAAACUGCCAGCUUGAGUUCUGGAGAGGAAGGCGGAAUUCUCGGUGUAGAGGUGAAAUUCGUAGAUAUCGAGAGGAACACCGGUGGCGAAGGCGGCCUUCUGGACAGCAACUGACGCUGAGACGCGAAACGU